CCUACGGGUGGCAGCAGUCGAGAAUCAUUGACAAUGGGGGAAACCCUGAUGGUGCGACGCCGCGUGGGGGAAUGAAGGUCUUCGGAUUGUAAACCCCUGUCAUGUGGGAGCAAAUUAAAAAGAUAGUACCACAAUAGGAAGAGACGGCUAACUCUGUGCCACCAGCCGCGGUAAUACAGAGGUCUCAAGCGUUGUUCUGAAUCACUUGGCGUAAAGGGUGCGUAGGCUGUUUCGUAAGUCGUGUGUGAAAGGCGCGGGCUCAACCCGCGGACGGCCCAGGAUACUGGGAGGCUAGAGUAAUGGAGGGGGAUGCGGAAUGCGCGGUGUAGCAGUGAAAUGCGUAGAUAUCGAGAGGAACACUCGUGGCGAAGGCGGGUUCCUGGACAUUAACUGACGCUGAGGCACGAAGGCCAGGGGAGCGAAAGGGAUUAGAUACCCCUGUAGUC
rnacentral:rRNA from 1 species